CCUACGGGAGGCAGCAGUGAGGAAUAUUGGUCAAUGGGCGAAAGCCUGAACCAGCCAUGCCGCGUGCAGGAAGACGGCUCUAUGAGUUGUAAACUGCUUUUGUACGAGGGUAAACACAGAUACGUGUAUCUGCUUGAAAGUAUCUUACGAAUAAGGAUCGGCUAACUCCGUGCCAGCAGCCGCGGUAAUACGGAGGAUCCAAGCGUUAUCCGGAUUUAUUGGGUUUAAAGGGUGCGUAGGCGGUUUAGUAAGUCAGCGGUCAAAUUGCGGGGCUAAACCCCGUACUGCCGUUGAAACUGCAUCCCUUGAGUGCGCGAGAAGUAUGCGGAAUGCGUGGUGUAGCGGUGAAAUGCAUAGAUAUCACGCAGAACUCCGAUUGCGAAGGCAGCAUACCGGCGCGCAACUGACGCUCAUGCACGAAAGCGUGGGUAUCGAACAGGAUUAGAUACCCUAGUAGUC
rnacentral:rRNA from 1 species